GAUGAACGCUGGCGGCGUGCCUAAUACAUGCAAGUCGAGCGAACGGACGAGAAGCUUGCUUCUCUGAUGUUAGCGGCGGACGGGUGAGUAACACGUGGAUAACCUACCUAUAAGACUGGGAUAACUUCGGGAAACCGGAGCUAAUACCGGAUAAUAUUUUGAACCGCAUGGUUCAAAAGUGAAAGACGGUCUUGCUGUCACUUAUAGAUGGAUCCGCGCUGCAUUAGCUAGUUGGUAAGGUAACGGCUUACCAAGGCAACGAUGCAUAGCCGACCUGAGAGGAUGAUCAGCCACACUGGAACUGAGACACGGUCCAGACUCCUACGGGAGGCAGCAGUAGGGAAUCUUCCGCAAUGGGCGAAAGCCUGACGGAGCCACGCCGCGUGAGUGAUGAAGGUCUUCGGAUCGUAAAACUCUGUUAUUAGGGAAGAACAUAUGUGUAAGUAACUGUGCACAUCUUGACGGUACCUAAUCAGAAAGCCACGGCUAACUACGUG
rnacentral:rRNA from 1 species